CUCCCCCCUCCUCCCCGCAUGACGACUCUUCCCCGACGGCGGUUGCGGUGCAGCAUCCCGAUGGCGGAGGCGCGACGUCCGACGUCCAGGAGGCUGAUGCGGCGCAGCAUCCCGAGGUCACCAUGCCAAACCCUAGGCCGAUGUGUCCUCCAUGAAGCAGCAAGAGGGUGGUUACGGUGCAGCAUCCCAAUGGCGGACGCAGCCUGACGUCCGGUGUCUAGGAGGUUGAUGCGGCGCGGCAUCCCGGUGGCCCAGUCAGGCAGGCAGGAUCUGCUGGUCACCAUGCUAAACCCUAGGCCAAUGUGAGCACCUCCCUCCCUCCUCCACUCCCUGCCCAUGUCCCUCUCCCUCACUAUUUCUUCUUUUUCGAGAUCUGUGGUGUGUCCUCCAUGAAGCAGCAAGAGGUGGAGGAGCUGCUCCGGUGGGUGAAGAAGCUAGAGAAAGCCAAGGCAUGGCUGCUCGGUGAGAAGGAGGCCGCGGAGAACACGUCGUGGGUGGCUGCGCGAGGAGGGGGGCAUUGGAGGCUUCUGUUUUUUUCCUACUGGACCUUGAAUUUCAUUGGAUUACUUAGUCUCUUCGAUCACCUCAUGCUAAUAAGUUGAUGUCUGCUGCUUGUUUGCUAUUUCUGUAAAGAAAGAAAGUGCUUGUCAGGAGUAUUUAAAUCAAUUGCUUUCAUCAAUUCA